rnacentral:rRNA from 1 species
UACGUAGGUGGCAAGCGUUAUCCGGAAUUAUUGGGCGUAAAGCGAGCGCAGGCGGUUCCUUAAGUCUGAUGUGAAAGCCCACGGCUCAACCGUGGAAGGUCAUUGGAAACUGGGGAACUUGAGUGCAGAAGAGGAGAGUGGAAUUCCAUGUGUAGCGGUGAAAUGCGUAGAUAUUAGGAGGAACACCAGUUGCGAAGGCGGCUCUCUGGACUGUAACUGACACUGAGGCACGAAAGCGUGGGGAGGCAAACAGGAUUAGA